rnacentral:misc_RNA from 1 species
ACAAACUUGGUCAUUUAGAGGAAGUAAAAGUCGUAACAAGGUUUCCGUAGGUGAACCUGCGGAAGGAUCAUUACAGAGCUUAGCGCCCUCUGGGCGCUUUCUCCCAUCACAUGUUGACCCUGAAACCGUUGCCUUGGGGGGCCAGGCCCCCGCCCUCCGGCUCAGCUGGGGAGCGCCCCCCGUAGGAACCCUCCAACCCGCUCACCGUGGCAUCUGAGCCCUAUCGAAUUAUGAAAACUUUCAACAACGGAUCUCUUGGUUCUGGCAUCGAUGAAGAACGCAGC